rnacentral:sRNA from 1 species
AACAAAAGUUUUCACUACCUUUUCUCUCUCUAAAAGCUCUCUUUUCUCUCUAAAAGUAAAUCUAGAUCUCAGUUUGCGUUGGUUGGCUCCGGUGGCUUCCAUAGCGCCGGAGCUAUGCCUCUCUUGCUCUCCUGUAAACUUUAUGGUUCUUUUGUUUGGUUUAUGUGCGUUUUAGUGUAGUGAUUUAAGGUGGUUCUUAGAUGGCUCAUGUUGUUUUUGUGGGUUGGUCGUCUCUGUUGCUUGUAGCGCCUCUUGAUCCGAUUUGGUUUAACCUUCUUCUCGUUUAGCCUAUUACCAGGUAUGGUGGUUGCUUUCGCUUCUGUCCGGUUCGAUCUCCUACCGUUUAUCUUCUUCGGUGUGGUUCAGAUUGAUUUGGUUCUCUCCUUGUCUCUACUCUAAAGAUCUUAUCGAGAUCUCAUAUGUUCAUUGGCUGGUUUCCUUUGAGGCGCUAAACAAUCAUAUUCUUUGAUUUUGCCGCUCCGGGAGUGUAGGUGUGACUUGUCGUCUUUGGCCUAGUUCUUCUCGCCGGUAUGGAUUCCUUGGAACUCUUCUAUGUAAGGUAGUCUUCAUCGUAAUAGGUGGCACCGCUGUCCGUUUGGUUGGGAGUUCCUUAUCCCCUACGGAGUGGCUUGAUGUAAAGCUCUGCCUUUCCUUUGUCUGGUAAUGUGGUUGACGAGAUAUUGUGUUUAAACAUUGGGUUGUUUUGGUUGCUUCUUUGUUUCAGUUUUAAAAUUUUUUCUUUGUAUGUAAGGUUUGUUUUGCCUUGUUUGCUUCCCUUUCCUUUAGGCUUUGUUUCCGAGAUUAUCUUUUAAUCGUCGGCUUAUAUUUCUAGGGUUAGUUGUUAAUCGCCGGCUUUGUAAUUUAUCGAAAUCUCUAUAAUAAAUUUUCAGACGAUAAAAAAAAAAAACAAGAAAAUAAAUAAAUAAAUAACAUGAACGACAAAAAAAGUUUCACAUCGAUGAUGAUUUUGUACUGUAGUUUUGUACGGUCAUAAUAGAAACAAACAAAGAAGUCCAACCAAUGGG